ACCGAAACAGCUCAGUUGGGAGAACGUUAGACUAUAGAUCGAAAAGUCCCUGGUUCGGUCCCGGGUUCCGGCA
rnacentral:tRNA from 1 species